rnacentral:rRNA from 1 species
GACGAACGCUGGCGGCGUGCUUAACACAUGCAAGUCGAACGGAAAGGCCCUGCUUUUGUGGGGUGCUCGAGUGGCGAACGGGUGAGUAACACGUGAGUAACCUGCCCUUGACUUUGGGAUAACUUCAGGAAACUGGGGCUAAUACCGGAUAGGAGCUCCUGCUGCAUGGUGGGGGUUGGAAAGUUUCGGCGGUUGGGGAUGGACUCGCGGCUUAUCAGCUUGUUGGUGGGGUAGUGGCUUACCAAGGCGUUGGCGGGUAGGCGGCCUGAGAGGGUGACCGGGCCACGUGGGACCGGGAUACGGGCCGGACCACUGCGGGAGGGAGGAGUGGGGGAGCAUGCCCGAUGGGGCGAAGCCGGGUGCAGGAAGGGCGCCUGCGGGAUGAAGGCCUUUGGGGUGAAAACCGCUUUCGCCUGUGACGAAGCGUGAGUGACGGUAAUGGGUAAAGAAGCACCGGCUAACUACGUG